rnacentral:rRNA from 1 species
UACGGAGGGUGCAAGCGUUAAUCGGAAUUACUGGGCGUAAAGCGUGCGUAGGUGGUUCGUUAAGUCCGUUUGUGAAAGCCCCGAGCUCAACUUGGGAAUUGCAGUGGAUACUGGCGAGCUGGAGUGCGGUAGAGGAAGGUGGAAUUCCCGGUGUAGCGGUGAAAUGCGUAGAGAUCGGGAAGGAACACCAGUGGCGAAGGCGGCCUUCUGGACCAGCACUGACACUCAAGCACGAAAGCGUGGGGAGCAAACAGG